CACCCGUUCUCCCAUUUUAGAAGCUUCUCCUUCAAUUUUUCAUCUCAGAAUCAGAAAAAUCAGAAAAUAAGAAAUGCCAAUGGAGAAGAUCAGAGACGUAACAAUACAGAGAGAAGUAACCGCAAAUUUUUCGAACCAAUUUUUCACUUCUCUUCGUCUAACUUUUUUACCUAAAGCUAGACUAUGAAGGCUUGCAAUUGAAAUGCGCUUUAUUUCUGAGUUAACUGUUGCUCGAUGAAGAACACUUUUGUAUCUACCAUUGCUCAAUACUUCCAUUUGAUCUCCCAAUUGAACAAUGAGAGCCCCUUCAAUGAGUGGAACUGAAUGCCACUUUUCAUCUCGAUCCAUGGUUUGUAAGCCCAGAUGGUUUUGAAGAAUGAUCGUUAGCAUACCGUAAUCUGUAUGUGGUGGCAAUCCUAGAGUAAGAUCUGGCUCAGGACAUGCUGGAUAGCAAUUGACUGCCAUGACCUGGGAACCUUCUGUAAUGUCUUCAUUAUGCAGUUGCAGGGUGACAUGGACACGACACGAAACUGCAUGACAAGUAGUACCUGGAAGAAACCAAAUUUCUUGCAAGCCAGGUGUACUUCCUGAAUUAUCUGAGAUCGAAGAUGAGGGUAUUGCAGAUAAGAUAGAUCCACAAUUGGCAAGGUACAAUUGGGCCGUAAGGAUGGUGGAAGGAUAUAACGCUUGGGAACACAGGUUAGUUCCUCUUCAGUAAGUGUCAUGGCACUAGUAAAUGAACCAUUUGGUGAAGCUGAACUUUCCAUUAUUUUUCCCAUGCCUUAUUGUGUUAUUCUUCCUGUAUGUUCCAUAUGACUUUUAAUCCCUCCCUAUUUAUAAGGAGGAAAAUAUGAAGAUAUGGUUGGAGCUUUUAAUUAUUUAUCGAGAUAUAUGUAAUGAAUAUAUAUGCGUAUAAUGCUAUGGAUAGGACUAUAACUAUAUUGUAUAUAGUCAUACAUGAAUAGCCAAAGUGUGAAAUAUUUCAGGCUUGGUAAUUGUCGGUCUCCAUGUUGAAUCCGAUAGUGCAACUAUGUUCAGAUUCAACUGGGUGUGACUCCACGCGCCAUGAGAGAGACUGGUGAUCUAAUUUUACGCGCGUACGUAGGCACUCUGGAUUUUGGAACAUUAUUCUUUUUUACUUUAGUUUCCUAUCUGGGAAGUAAUUAACUCGCUGCCUAUUUGUUCAGUGCUACUCUUGUGUUUAGGGGUGUCAAUAAGACGAUUUGGUUGAUUAUUUUUAAAAAAUUAUAUGAUAUCAAUUGUUUAAAUA